rnacentral:rRNA from 1 species
GCGUGUGUGAAGAAGGCCUUCGGGUUGUAAAGCACUUUUGGCGGGAACGAAACAGCGCUUGCUAAUACCGAGCGCGAAUGACGGUACCCGCAGAAUAAGCACCGGCUAACUACGUGCCAGCAGCCGCGGUAAGACGUAGGGUGCAAGCGUUAAUCGGAAUUACUGGGCGUAAAGCGUGCGCAGGCGGUUUUGUAAGACAGAUGUGAAAUCCCCGGGCUCAACCUGGGAACUGCAUUUGUGACUGCAAGGCUAGAGUGCGUCAGAGGGAGGUGGAAUUCCGCGUGUAGCAGUGAAAUGCGU